GAUGAACGCUGGCGGCGUGCUUAACACAUGCAAGUCGAACGGAAAGGCCCAAGCUUGCUUGGGUACUCGAGUGGCGAACGGGUGAGUAACACGUGGGUGAUCUGCCCUGCACUUCGGGAUAAGCCUGGGAAACUGGGUCUAAUACCGGAUAGGACCACAUUUUGGAUGGUGUGGUGGAGAGUGUUUCGGUGUGGGAUGAGCUCGCGGCCUAGCAGCUUGUUGGUGGGGUAAUGGCCUACCAAGGCGUCGACGGGUAGCCGGCCUGAGAGGGUGUACGGCCACAUUGGGACUGAGAUAGGGCCCAGACUCCUACGGGAGGCAGCAGUGGGGAAUAUUGCACAAUGGGCGAAAGCCUGAUGCAGAGACGCCGCGUGGGGGAUGACGGCCCUCGGGUUGUAAACGCCUUUCGCUAGGGACGAAGCGUUAUGUGACGGUACCUGGAGAAGAAGCACCGGCUAACUACGUG
rnacentral:rRNA from 1 species